rnacentral:tRNA from 1 species
AUCAGCAUGGCAUAGUGGUUUGAGUGUUGGACUACAACUCUGGAGACCAGGGUUCAAUUCCAUGCUCAGCCA